rnacentral:rRNA from 1 species
CAGUAGCCGCGGUAAUACGUAGGGUGCGAGCGUUAAUCGGAAUUACUGGGCGUAAAGCGUGCGUAGGCGGUUGUGUAAGACAGGUGUGAAAUCCCCGGGCUUAACCUGGGAACUGCGCUUGUGACUGCACAGCUAGAGUAUGGCAGAGGGGGGUGGAAUUCCACGUGUAGCAGUGAAGUGCGUAGAGAUGUGGAGGAACACCGAUGGUGAAGGCAGCCCCCUGGGCCAAUACUGACGCUCAUGCACGAAAGCGUGGGGAGCGAACAGGAUUAGAUACCCCGUAGUCCCUGUCUCUUAUACA